UCAGACGCUACAAUUCUUAAUUUGGUGUUUGAAGAUGUUGCAUCUCUGUAUGUGACCUGAGUGAUUCCGUGUUGUGGUUUCUCAUUCUCAUAUGGGAUAUCCCAUCUGGAAAUACCUCUUCUCAUAUAUAAUUGUGUGAUAUGACAAUUUAUCGCUGUGUUUGGUUCUCACAUACCACGAGUUUUAGGCAGGAGAUGAGGUGUGUUUCUGAAAUCACCUAUGCAGAAGUGAAAUUCAAGAAUGAAUCCAACUCCUCAGGCACCUACUCAGAUUCUGCUACAGCUCCCAAAAUGAAGCCCACCCCUCAUCUAAGUAAGCCUGGUGGUUGCCCCUCACUGUUGUUUAUAUCACUGAUGACACUUUUCCUCCUGUUGGCAAUCUCAUUUUUGGUUGCUUUUAUCUGGAAGUUUCAAAAUCACAUUGCAGUUGUAUGUGGAUACAGAAGUUAAAAGUUGUGGUCAUUUUUGGAAGGCAUCACAGCCAUGGAGAACCAUUGCAACAUUUCAAAUAGAGAAUUAAUGUAGGUGAAUUUAGAUUAUAGAUGGUGCUUUUGCAGGACUCAGAAAACAGAGUCACCAAGACAAUAAGAGAAAAAUGAGAAGGUCUAUUUCUAAUUUGAUAAUGAGAUAAGUGUCUGAAGAACAUGAGAUGAGGUGACUUUGAAUGGUAAAGAGCACAACACCAAGGAAGUAGAUGCUGAUGAAUGUAGAUAUCCAGGGAUUAAGGGGUCCAAGAAGUACAUUGUGACUUUCAUAUUCUGAUGAUGUAAAUUCAGCAACCAUGAAGUUAUUCAAAGAGGUAGACAAUAUAGGAUAAGUUAUAGGUUUAAGUUGGCACGUGUUGAUUUCAGUUUUGGGCAUACUGAGUUGAACCUAAUAUGUUUGUGUUUAGUGAGCACAAAUUCUAGCACAUACAGGCAGCAGGCAAGACCAUAGCAAUACAUGGCAUCACUGGGAAAGAUUUUGUAUGAGGAGGAAGCAUCGUGACAAGACUGUAGGAAGUGUUACAUUUUAAAGGGUGGAUGGAGGGAGAAGAGAUUAUAAAAAACAACAAGAAGUGACGGCAAAAAAUGGUGAUGCAAAACCAGGACGGAGCAAUGUGUUAAGAGCUGAGGAGGAGAACUAGAUUGAGUCCAAUAGCAAGAUGGCUAACUAAUUAUCCUGGGGUAUUAUUGACGAUCCAUUUCAAACUUGGUGUGAAUGAAAUGGAGGAAGCCAAAGUGGUGGGGUAAGGAGGACAAGACUCAGGGAGGAAAGAGAAGAAAUUCAGUUCUAGAGAGAAGCCAGUCAGCUGUAAACCAGGAGAGAGUGAGCAUGUGCGUGGAGGAGUAAUCUGGUUGAAAGGAAGAGGGUUUGAGAAACAAAACAAUGCUCCACAGAUGCAUGUUGAGUUCUUUUUUAUUUCACAUUCUAAAAUAACCUAGAGCUUCUCAGAAUUAGUUAACCCCCUUUCCUCCCAAAGCCAAGGCAGUUUACAUUCUUGAAUACAAAUAUCUCUGUCUGCUUCAUCUUCCCCAGGAGUUAGCGUUUUCAUCUCAUGUUAACAUGGAAGGGUAUGGCUCACUCCCUUUAGAGUCAUGGCAGUGGGCCUGCCUGCCUUUCAAAUCAUGGUCUUUCUGGAGUCCUGGAAGUACCUGUGGUUUCAAAUAGGAGGCUGAGGACUACAUUGACUGUGGGGUGAUGGGAAUCUUAGGCUCUGUCUACUUAGGUAAUCGGGACUUGGGCUGGAGAGAUGGCUCAGCCGUUAAAGGCUAGGCUCACAACCAAAAAUAUAAGUAAUCAGGACUUAGUAGAUCUGUGUAUCAGUAAGGAGAAAGUAGAAAGCCAUGAUUCUUUCAUGAAAUUUAGUGGUUUGGGUUCUGUUUUUUGUUUAUUUGUUGUUUGUUUUACAGUUUAUUAUCAAAAUACUCUCUACUUCUUGAAGAAAAAAAAAGCUAAAAAACGAUCUAACUUACAGAGAAUUGAACUGCACAAAAGACGAUUCACCCAUAGAAGGUUAGAUGAAGUUAAAGUUAGACGGAAUGUGCUUAAUUCCAGACAGUGAAAGCAGAAGCCCCAAAGGAAGCACGGAGAAGAGGCUGUGAGGCCAGGCCAGCCUUGCCUUAGCUGUGCAGGGGAGGGUC